UACGGAGGGUGCAAACGUUGCUCGGAAUUAUUGGGCGUAAAGCGCACGUAGGCGGCUCAGCAAGUCGGGUGUGAAAGCCCUCGGCUUAACCGAGGAAGUGCAUUCGAAACUACUGAGCUUGAAUACUGGAGAGGGUUGCGGAAUUCCCGGUGUAGAGGUGAAAUUCGUAGAUAUCUGGAGGAACACCGGUGGCGAAGGCGGCAUCCUGGACCAAUUCUGACGCUGAGGAGCGAAAGCCAGGGGAGCAAACGGG
rnacentral:rRNA from 1 species